rnacentral:rRNA from 1 species
UACGUAGGCAGCGAGCGUUGUUCGGAGUUACUGGGCGUAAAGGGUGUGUAGGCGGUUGCGUAAGUUUGGUGUGAAAUCUCCCGGCUCAACUGGGAGGGUGCGCCGAAUACUGAGUGACUCGAGUGCGGGAGAGGAGAGUGGAAUUCCUGGUGUAGCGGUGAAAUGCGUAGAUAUCAGGAGGAACACCGGUGGUGUAGACGGCUCUCUGGACCGUAACUGACGCUGAGACACGGAAGCGUGGGUAGCAAACAGG